GAUGAACGCUAGCGGCAGGCUUAAUACAUGCAAGUCGUGGGGCAGCAGGACUGUAGCAAUACAGUUGCUGGCGACCGGCAAACGGGUGCGGAACACGUACACAACCUUCCUUUAAGUGGAGAAUAGCCCGGGGAAACCCGGAUUAAUACCCCGUAGCAUAUCGAUUAGGCAUCUUUUUGAUAUUAUAGCUCCGGCGCUUAAUGAUGGGUGUGCGGCUGAUUAGGUAGUGGGCGGGGUAACGGCCCACCAAGCCUACGAUCAGUAACUGGUGUGAGAGCACGACCAGUCACACGGGCACUGAGACACGGGCCCGACUCCUACGGGAGGCAGCAGUAAGGAAUAUUGGUCAAUGGACGCAAGUCUGAACCAGCCAUGCCGCGUGAAGGAUGAAGGUCCUCUGGAUUGUAAACUUCUUUUAUCUGGGACGAAAAAAGGGAAUUCUUUCUCGUCUGACGGUACCAGAUGAAUAAGCACCGGCUAACUCCGUGCCAGCCGCCGCCGUAACAC
rnacentral:rRNA from 1 species